rnacentral:rRNA from 1 species
AUUGAACGCUGGCGGCAGGCUUAACACAUGCAAGUCGAGCGGAGAGAGGUAGCUUGCUACUGAUCUUAGCGGCGGACGGGUGAGUAAUGCUUAGGAAUCUGCCUAUUAGUGGGGGACAACAUUUCGAAAGGAAUGCUAAUACCGCAUACGUCCUACGGGAGAAAGCAGGGGAUCUUCGGACCUUGCGCUAAUAGAUGAGCCUAAGUCGGGUUAGCUAGUUGGUGGGGUAAAGGCCUACCAAGGCGACGAUCUGUAGCGGGUCUGAGAGGAUGAUCCGACACACUGGGACUGAGACACGGGCCAGACUCCUACGGGAGGCAGCAGUGGGGAAUAUUGGACAAUGGGCGGAAGCCUGAUCCAGCCAUGCCGCGUGUGUGAAGAAGGCCUUAUGGUUGUAAAGCACUUUAAGCGAGGAGGAGGCUACUUUAGUUAAUACCUAGAGAUAGUGGACGUUACUCGCAGAAUAAGCACCGGCUAACUCUGUGCCAGCCGCCGCAGUAA